AACGAACGCUGGCGGCAUGCCUAACACGUGCAAGUCGAACGAGACCUUCGGGCCUAGUGGCGCACGGGUGCGUAACGCGUGGGAACCUGCCCUUAGGUUCGGAAUAACUCCCCGAAAGGGGUGCUAAUACCGGAUAAUGUCUUCGGACCAAAGAUUUAUCGCCUUUGGAUGGGCCCGCGUUGGAUUAGCUAGUUGGUAGGGUAAAGGCCUACCAAGGCGACGAUCCAUAGCUGGUCUGAGAGGAUGAUCAGCCACACUGGGACUGAGACACGGCCCAGACUCCUACGGGAGGCAGCAGUGGGGAAUAUUGGACAAUGGGCGAAAGCCUGAUCCAGCAAUGCCGCGUGAGUGAUGAAGGCCUUAGGGUUGUAAAGCUCUUUUACCCGGGAUGAUAAUGACAGUACCGGGAGAAUAAGCUCCGGCUAACUCCGUG
rnacentral:rRNA from 1 species